rnacentral:rRNA from 1 species
GCCUAUGGCCAUGCCCCUCGAACAAGCCUGAUGUCUGAUCUUGGAAGCUAAACAGGGUCGGGCCUGGUUAGUACUUGGAUGAGAGACCAUCUAGGAAGACCAGGUGCUGUAGGCA